AGCUAAGAAUCUUCCGCAAUGGGGGGAACCCUGACGGAGCGACGCCGCGUGAGCGAAGAAGGCGGAAACGUUGUAAAGCUCUUUUCUUGAGGAGGAAUAAGCCUGGCAGGUAAUGGUCAGGUGAUGACGUUAAUCAAGGAAUAAGCCCCGGCUAAUUACGUGCCAGCAGCCGCGGUAACACGUGAGGGGCGAGCGUUGUUCGGAAUUAUUGGGCGUAAAGGGCGCGUAGGCGGUUUUAAAAGCUUGGUGUGAAAGACCUCAGCUCAACUGAGGGGACGCGCUGGGAACUGUAAGACUAGAAUCUAGGAGGGGAAGCUGGAAUUCCUGGUGUAGGGGUGAAAUCUGUAGAUAUCAGGAAGAACACCGGUGGCGAAGGCGAGCUUCUGGCCAUAGAUUGACGCUGAGGCGCGAAAGCGUGGGGAGCGAACAGGAUUAGAUACCCUGGUAGUCCACGCCGUAAACGAUGUGCACUAGGUGUUGGGGAUAGGAUCCUCAGUACCGAAGCAAACGCGAUAAGUGCACCGCCUGGGGAGUAUGCCGGCAACGGUGAAACUCAAAGGAAUUGACGGGGGCCCGCACAAGCGGUGGAGCAUGUGGUUUAAUUCGAUGAUACGCGAGAAACCUUACCAGGGCUUGACAUAAUAUUGACGACAUUGGAGACAGUGUUUUCCCUUCGGGGACAGUAUUACAGGUGCUGCAUGGUUGUCGUCAGCUCGUGCUGUGAAGUGUUGGGUUAAGUCCCGCAACGAGCGCAACCCCUGCUGUCUGUUGCCAACAGGUUAAGCUGGGAACUCAGACGGUACUGCCGGUGACAAACCGGAGGAAGGUGGGGAUGACGUCAAAUCAUCAUGGCCCUUAUGUCCUGGGCUACACACGUGCUACAAUGGCCGGUACAGAGUGACGCGAAACCGUGAGGUGGAGCAAAUCGCAGAAAGCCGGUCUCAGUACAGAUUGAAGUCUGAAACUCGACUUCAUGAAGGUGGAAUCGCUAGUAAUCGCGCAUCAGCAUGGCGCGGUGAAUACGU
rnacentral:rRNA from 1 species